rnacentral:rRNA from 1 species
GGAUCAUUACACAAAUAUGAAGGCGGGCUGGAACCUCUCGGGGUUACAGCCUUGCUGAAUUAUUCACCCUUGUCUUUUGCGUACUUCUUGUUUCCUUGGUGGGUUCGCCCACCACUAGGACAAACAUAAACCUUUUGUAAUUGCAAUCAGCGUCAGUAACAAAUUAAUAAUUACAACUUUCAACAACGGAUCUCUUGGUUCUGGCAUCGAUGAAGAACGCAGCGAAAUGCGAUAAGUAGUGUGAAUUGCAGAAUUCAGUGAAUCAUCGAAUCUUUGAACGCACAUUGCGCCCUUUGGUAUUCCAAAGGGCAUGCCUGUUCGAGCGUCAUUUGUACCCUCAAGCUUUGCUUGGUGUUGGGCGUCUUGUCUCUAGCUUUGCUGGAGACUCGCCUUAAAGUAAUUGGCAGCCGGCCUACUGGUUUCGGAGCGCAGCACAAGUCGCACUCUCUAUCAGCAAAGGUCUAGCAUCCAUUAAGCCUUUUUUCAACUUUUGACCUCGGAUCAGGUAGGGAUACCCGCUGA